UACGAAGGGGGCUAGCGUUGUUCGGAAUUACUGGGCGUAAAGGGCUCGUAGGCGGCCAACUAAGUCAGACGUGAAAUCCCUCGGCUUAACCGGGGAACUGCGUCUGAUACUGGAUGGCUUGAGGUUGGGAGAGGGAUGCGGAAUUCCAGGUGUAGCGGUGAAAUGCGUAGAUAUCUGGAGGAACACCGGUGGCGAAGGCGGCAUCCUGGACCAAAUCUGACGCUGAGGAGCGAAAGCCAGGGGAGCAAACGGG
rnacentral:rRNA from 1 species